CACGUAGGGGGCAAGCGUUGUCCGGAUUCAUUGGGCGUAAAGAGCUCGUAGGCGGUUCGAUAAGUCGGGUGUGAAACCUCCAGGCUCAACCUGGAGACGCCACCCGAUACUGUCGUGACUAGAGUCCAGUAGGGGAGCGUGGAAUUCCUGGUGUAGCGGUGAAAUGCGCAGAUAUCAGGAGGAACACCGAUUGCGAAGGCAGCUCGCUGGGACGUUACUGACGCUGAGACGCGAAAGCGUGGGGAGCAAACAGG
rnacentral:rRNA from 1 species